AGAAUCAACGCUGGCGGCGUGCCUAACACAUGCAAGUCGAACGAGAAAGUGGAGCAAUCCAUGAGUAAAGUGGCGCACGGGUGAGUAACACGUGACUAACCUACCCUCGAGUGGGGAAUAACCUCGGGAAACCGGGGCUAACACCGCAUAACAUCUACGGAUCAAAUGCGUAAGCAGCUUGAGGAGGGGGUCGCGGCUGAUUAGCUAGUUGGCGGGUAAUGGCCCACAAGGCAGUGAUCAGUA
rnacentral:rRNA from 1 species